rnacentral:rRNA from 1 species
GACGAACGCUGGCGGCGUGCUUAACACAUGCAAGUCGAACGGAAAGGCCCUGCUUUUGUGGGGUGCUCGAGUGGCGAACGGGUGAGUAACACGUGAGUAACCUGCCCUUGACUUUGGGAUAACUUCAGGAAACUGGGGCUAAUACCGGAUAGGAGCUCCUGCUGCAUGGUGGGGGUUGGAAAGUUUCGGCGGUUGGGGAUGGACUCGCGGCUUAUCAGCUUGUUGGUGGGGUAGUGGCUUACCAAGGCUUUGACGGGUAGCCGGCCUGAGAGGGUGACCGGCCACAUUGGGACUGAGAUACGGCCCAGACUGCUACGGGAGGCAGCAGUGGGGAAUAUUGCACAAUGGGCGGAAGCCUGAUGCAGCAACGCCGCGUGCGGGAUGACGGCCUUCGGGUUGUAACCCGCUUUCGCCUGUGACGAAGCGUGAGUGACGGUAAUGGGUAAAGAAGCACCGGCUAACUACGUG